rnacentral:rRNA from 1 species
AGAAUCAACGCUGGCGGCGUGCCUAACACAUGCAAGUCGAACGAGAAAGUGGAGCAAUCCAUGAGUAAAGUGGCGCACGGGUGAGUAACACGUGACUAACCUACCCUGGAGUGGGGGAUAACUGAGGGAAACCUUAGCUAAUACCGCAUAACACCUACGGGUCAAAGGAGCAAUUCGCUUUAGGAGGGGGUCGCGGCAGAUUAGCUAGUUGGCGGGGUAAUGGCCCACCAAGGCAGUGAUCUGUA